UCCAAGUGUGAGCCCUCCAAAAAGAUGUUUUUAAGUUAUGUUUUUGGGCAAUCUGACUUGGGGAGACCAUAACGCCAUCAUGGCUCAGGAAUUUGGGAAACCUUAUAAAAUAAAAGUUGUAGAUAAUUGGAUUAUCUUUCCAACCAUAGGUUGUGGUAAUUUAUUCGAUAUCGGUAUCAAGAGAUAUGACAGUUUUACUGAACAAAGGUGCUGGCUGCGAAUUUUAAUUCCGAAUUUUAAAAAUGGCUCGACCGGUUUUCAAAUUUCUACUGAUAUAGAAAUAUUAAUUGAGAUUAGGGAUUAAUUAACCAUGGUUGAAUUAUUAAGUGGAAAUUUGAGAUUAAUUGAGAUGAAUUAAAUUAAAUAGUGGGAUGAAAAGUGAUCCCCACUGCCACAUGGCCAAUUCUAAUUGGCCCAUGCUUUAGUAGGGGACAUCUAGUCACCUUGGGCAGCACACAUGGUCUUCAUUUUGACCAAAAUAGCAGCCAAAAACGUGUCCCAACUCCAGAAUGUUCAAGAAAGAGAGAGAAUUCCUCAUCUUCUCCAAAUUUCCUAAACUUUUGAGAAAGAAAGAAUAGAGAGAAGUAACGAGAUAGAGAGGCGGACAAGCUUGAGAGUGAGGGAGAAAUUGAGGGAUUAAGUGUGGUGAUUAUUCAAGGUUAUGGAAGCAAGGAUGGAUCCAUUAGAGAAGCAAAAAAAAACAUUUUUGACCAAGCCCUCAAAUUUUCAAGCAAAUUGUUUCAUAAAAGCCUAAGGUAUGAGGCAGCAUAUACAUGUUGUGUGUGGAUAAACACUAAAGGUACCAAAGUUUGAUUUGCUGAUCCGCUGGUUUAGGACAUCUGGUGUGUUAUUGAUAGUGCUCCCUUGUUCGGAGCUUGUAUUUUGGUACUGACUUUAUCUCUGUAUAUUUGAAUAUGUUGGUCAGGGGUACGACGGGGCCCUGUCCUGUCAUAUGACUAUGCUAUCAUCUGUAGAGGUCUGUAGACAGAGUUAUGUUGUGGGUUUUGUAUAUAUGGUUUGGGUUUUGUGUAUUUUGUGACGGUCUAUCAACCCUCGUGC